rnacentral:rRNA from 1 species
AAAUUGAAGAGUUUGAUCAUGGCUCAGAUUGAACGCUGGCGGCAGGCCUAACACAUGCAAGUCGAACGGUAACAGGAAUCAGCUUGCUGAUUCGCUGACGAGUGGCGGACGGGUGAGUAAUGUCUGGGAAACUGCCUGAUGGAGGGGGAUAACUACUGGAAACGAUAGCUAAUACCGCAUAACGUCGCAAGACCAAAGAGGGGGACCUUCGGGCCUCUUGCCAUC